rnacentral:lncRNA from 1 species
UGUGCUUCUGUGGUCUCUGAUGACUAGUUGUGGGGCACCUUUGACUAUGAAGACCAUUCAUCACGGUCACCAUUGUCUGGUACUUUAGAGAUCUCACUACCAACAGGAGCAGCAGGAGACUCUGGUUUAGAAGAAGAAACGAUUCCAAAAUCAUUUAAAGAAUAUACAGUGAUUUCUUAAUGAACUUUACAAAGCU